rnacentral:rRNA from 1 species
CGACAGGCGUAGGCGAUGGAUAACAGGUUGAUAUUCCUGUACCACCUAUAAUCGUUUUAAUCGAUGGGGGGACGCAGUAGGAUAGGCGAAGCGUGCGAUUGGAUUGCACGUCUAAGCAGUAAGGCUGAGUAUUAGGCAAAUCCGGUACUCGUUAAGGCUGAGCUGUGAUGGGGAGAAGACAUUGUGUCUUCGAGUCGUUGAUUUCACACUGCCGAGAAAAGCCUCUAGAUAGAAAAUAGGUGCCCGUACCGCAAACCGACACAGGUAGUCAAGAUGAGAAUUCUAAGGUGAGCGAGCGAACUCUCGUUAAGGAACUCGGCAAAAUGACCCCGUAACUUCGGGAGAAGGGGUGCUCUUUAGGGUUAACGCCCAGAAGAGCCGCAGUGAAUAGGCCCAAGCGACUGUUUAUCAAAAACACAGGUCUCUGCUAAACCGUAAGGUGAUGUAUAGGGGCUGACGCCUGCCCGGUGCUGGAAGGUUAAGAGGAGUGGUUAGCUUCUGCGAAGCUACGAAUCGAAGCCCCAGUAAACGGCGGCCGUAACUAUAACGGUCCUAAGGUAGCGAAAUUCCUUGUCGGGUAAGUUCCGACCCGCACGAAAGGCGUAACGAUUUGGGCACUGUCUCAACGAGAGACUCGGUGAAAUCAUAGUACCUGUGAAGAUGCAGGUUACCCGCGACAGGACGGAAAGACCCCGUGGAGCUUUACUGUAGCCUGAUAUUGAAAUUCGGCACAGCUUGUACAGGAUAGGUAGGAGCCUUUGAAACGUGAGCGCUAGCUUACGUGGAGGCGCUGGUGGGAUACUACCCUAGCUGUGUUGGCUUUCUAACCCGCACCACUUAUCGUGGUGGGAGACAGUGUCAGGCGGGCAGUUUGACUGGGGCGGUCGCCUCCUAAAAGG